GGGGGUGUCAUGGUUUCGACUGGACGCGCUUAACGUCGGCGGCAUGCCGAGGAUGAUCGUUGGCCUCGUAAAAAUUCGAUCAAACAGAUAACUGCGAACGAAGAGUACGCACUCGCUGCCUGAGUUGCAGCGACGUCUCCUCCCUGACGGGUGCUAGGGGAAGUGAGACGUCAUCAGCGCCCUGGUUCUGCUGGUUUUUCUGCCGCUGCGGAAUGAGAUUUCAGACAGGAUAGUCACAAGGAAGCCAGCCGGGCGACCACUCUGCGUGACGAUAAGCAAAGAAGUCCGGACAAGCAUGUAGAAGCAGGCGCAAUGCCAUCACAGGACGCGGGUUCGAAUCCCGCCACCUCCACCA
rnacentral:tmRNA from 1 species